rnacentral:lncRNA from 1 species
GUGGGAUUUGCUCCCCUGUUGACACUGGAGCAAGCUGAGCCUCCAGGAAGCCCUCCCUGGCCCCACCGUUUGUCUGGUCCCCCUCGAUGAGCUGCUUCAAGCUUCUUGGCCUGUGGAGUGGGGGUGACUCACUGUCAGUUUGGCCCUCGGCCGAGAGGCGUGGGCGUGAGAGUCCCUUGUUUCCUGUAAACUGGAGGGAGGCCAAUACCCAGCGGCUACUGUGUUGGGGCCACUCGGAAAGCCAGGUUCAAACCUUGGCCCCACUUGGUCCCCUGGGCAUCGGCUGAACUCCCUGUGCCUCCGUUUCCCCCUCUGCUUCAUGGGGUUCCGCUGGGGCUUGGGCUCAGAGCUAGGCAGGGAGUGAGCUUUCAGGAAAUGGCCCCUGUCAGAGAGAGACCGUAUUUGAUAAAAGGGUCUUUGCAG